rnacentral:rRNA from 1 species
AGUGAACGCUGGCGGCGUGCUUAACACAUGCAAGUCGAACGAGAACGGGUUAUAGCUUGCUAUAAUUGUCAGCUAAGUGGCGCACGGGUGAGUAAUGUAUAGGUAAUAUGCCUCUUACUAAGGGAUAACAAAUGGAAACGUUUGCUAAUACCUUAUACUCCUUAUUAACAGAAGUUAAUAAGGGAAAGAUUUAUUGGUAAGAGAUUAGCCUGUAUUGUAUCAGUUAGUUGGUGAGGUAAUGGCUUACCAAGACUAUGACACAUAACUGGUUUGAGAGGAUGAUCAGUCACACUGGAACUGAGACACGGUCCAGACUCCUACGGGAGGCAGCAGUAGGGAAUAUUGCACAAUGGAGGAAACUCUGAUGCAGCGACGCCGCGUGAGUGAUGAAGGACUUCGGUUUGUAAAGCUCUGUUGUUAGGGAAUAAAAAAAUGAAUGUACCUGACGAGAAAGGACCGGCUAACUUCGUGCCAGCCGCCGCGGUAA